rfam:Beta vulgaris subsp. vulgaris Bvchr1.sca002.con0231.1, whole genome shotgun sequence.
CCGACCUUAGCUCAGUUGGUAGAGCGGAGGACUGUAGUAGUGUGCUGAUAUCCUUAGGUCGCUGGUUCGAAUCCGGCAGGUCGGA